rnacentral:tRNA from 1 species
GGGUCCGUAGCUCAGCUGGGAGAGCGUCGCGUUCGCAAUGCGAAGAUCGGAAGUUCGAUCCUUCUCGGCUGCACCA